rnacentral:rRNA from 1 species
AACGAACGUUGGCGGCGUGGAUUAGGCAUGCAAGUCGUACGGGAUUCGGGGGCAACUCCGGGUCUAGUGGCGAACGGGUGAGUAACGCGUGGGAAACCUGCCUUCGAGAUGGGGAUAACACUCCCAACGGGGUGCUAAUACCCGAUAAGACCACGGGGCCGCAUGGUCCUGAGGUCAAAGGUGGCCUCUACUUGUAAGCUACCGCUUGAUGAGGGUCCCGCGUCCCAUUAGCUAGUUGGUGGGGUAAAAGCCCACCAAGGCUACGAUGGGUAGCUGGUCUGAGAGGAUGGUCAGCCACACUGGGACUGAGAUACGGCCCAGACUCCUACGGGAGGCAG